UACAGAGGGUGCAAGCGUUGCUCGGAAUUAUUGGGCGUAAAGGGUAGGUAGGCGGUCUCAUUUGUCGGGGGUGAAAGCCUUGGGCUUAACCCAAGAAGUGCCUUCGAAACGGUGAGACUAGAGUUCUGGAGAGGGUCGUGGAAUUCCCGGUGUAGCGGUGAAAUGCGUAGAGAUCGGGAGGAACACCAGAGGCGAAGGCAGUGUCCUGGGUGGUCGCUGACGCUGAGAGGCGAAAGCCAGGGGAGCAAACAGG
rnacentral:rRNA from 1 species